GUGGGUAUUUUGUAAAUAUUGAGUGUGAAUGGGGUUUGAAAGAUAAUCUUUGUGGACGGAGGGAGUAUAUCAUUAUCAUAAGAAAAACAUGCAUAAUAUGUCUAGUUAAUAAAAGAUAAAGUCAUAAAAACUUAAUUUCAGGGUUUAGGGUUGAACUUGCUAUAGAAUAGAAACUGAAUAUGAGAAGAGGAGAGGAAGAAGAAGUGAUGAAUAUGAGAAGAGCCUGAAG
rnacentral:lncRNA from 1 species